GCGUGCCUAAUACAUGCAAGUCGAGCGAACAGACGAGGAGCUUGCUCCUUUGACGUUAGCGGCGGACGGGUGAGUAACACGUGGGUAACCUACCUAUAAGACUGGGAUAACUUCGGGAAACCGGAGCUAAUACCGGAUAAUAUUUCGAACCGCAUGGUUCGAUAGUGAAAGAUGGCUCUGCUAUCACUUAUAGAUGGACCUGCGCCGUAUUAGCUAGUUGGUAAGGUAACGGCUUACCAAGGCAACGAUACGUAGCCGACCUGAGAGGGUGAUCGGCCACACUGGAACUGAGACACGGUCCAGACUCCUACGGGAGGCAGCAGUAGGGAAUCUUCCGCAAUGGGCGAAAGCCUGACGGAGCAACGCCGCGUGAGUGAUGAAGGUCUUCGGAUCGUAAAACUCUGUUAUUAGGGAAGAACAAACGUGUAAGUAACUGUGCACGUCUUGACGGUACCUAAUCAGAAAGCCACGGCUAACUACGUGCCAGCAGCCGCGGUAAUACGUAGGUGGCAAGCGUUAUCCGGAAUUAUUGGGCGUAAAGCGCGCGUAGGCGGUUUUUUAAGUCUGAUGUGAAAGCCCACGGCUCAACCGUGGAGGGUCAUUGGAAACUGGAAAA
rnacentral:rRNA from 1 species